rnacentral:rRNA from 1 species
UACAGAGGGUGCGAGCGUUAAUCGGAAUUACUGGGCGUAAAGCGCGAGUAGGCGGCUUUGCAAGUCGGGUGUGAAAUCCCCAGGCUUAACCUGGGAACUGCAUUCGAGACUGCAUUGCUAGAGUAUGGGAGAGGGAAGUGGAAUUUCCGGUGUAGCGGUGAAAUGCGUAGAUAUCGGAAGGAACAUCGGUGGCGAAAGCGCUCUGCUGGACUGCAACUGACACUAAAGGACGAAAGCUAGGGGAGCGAAUGGG